rnacentral:other from 1 species
GGCGAACUGCGCUUCCCGACAGGAGUUUUAGCAUCCCCGGGGCCUUAUUGAUCUCUAAGGGAGCUGUCCCUGUGAGGGCUCGUGGGCCUUCGCAUAUGGCGCCCACCUACUUUGUAGGUUCCCGGGAUCAAUCACAUCCAUCGGUCGUCGUGGUCGCCA